GGGAGUGGGGAAAAGUGAGCAAAAGUUAAGAGCAUGGGGAUGAAUGAGUAGAGAUAACGAACCGGGGCACACAAAUAAAAAUCCCUAAUGGAUAAUGAUGGUUGUUUAAUCUCAACGGUUGGGAUUUACUUAUGUGUUAGGGCAUUUUGGCCAAAGCAAAAGCCAAGCGGCGUCAAAAAUAACGGGCUUCGCAAGCCGCAGCUUUCCUCUCCCCCCUCCAAAACCCAGCACGAAGAAACGAAAUGAAGCUACGCAAGCAGCGACAACAGAGAAAAGGACGAAGCCGGAGGCGAUGGAGAGCGCCGCCCGCGCCUUCCCGCCCCUUAAAAGGCCAGCCACGAACCGCCAAGCCGCCGAUCGUCUCGACCCCGAACAACGCUUCGGCN
rnacentral:lncRNA from 1 species